rnacentral:rRNA from 1 species
CAGCCGCCGCGGUAAUACGUAGGUGGCAAGCGUUGUCCGGAAUUAUUGGGCGUAAAGGGCUCGCAGGCGGUUUCUUAAGUCUGAUGUGAAAGCCCCCGGCUCAACCGGGGAGGGUCAUUGGAAACUGGGAAACUUGAGUGCAGAAGAGGAGAGUGGAAUUCCACGUGUAGCGGUGAAAUGCGUAGAGAUGUGGAGGAACACCAGUGGCGAAGGCGACUCUCUGGUCUGUAACUGACGCUGAGGAGCGAAAGCGUGGAGAGCGAACAGGAUUAGAUACCCGAGUAGUCCCUGUCUCUUAUAA